UAGUCCACGCCGUAAACGAUGGACACUAGUUGUUGGGCAUUAGCUCAGUGACUAAGCGAAAGUGAUAAGUGUCCCACCUGGGGAGUACGAUCGCAAGAUUGAAACUCAAAGGAAUUGACGGGGGCCCGCACAAGCGGUGGAGCAUGUGGUUUAAUUCGAUGAUACGCGAGGAACCUUACCAGGGCUUAAAUGUAGUCUGACAGCUUUAGAGAUAGAGUUUUCUUCGGACAGAUUACAAGGUGCUGCAUGGUUGUCGUCAGCUCGUGCCGUGAGGUGUCAGGUUAAGUCCUAUAACGAGCGCAACCCCUGUCGUUAGUUGCCAGCAAGUAAAGUUGGGGACUCUAACGAGACUGCCUACGCAAGUAGAGAGGAAGGUGGGGAUGACGUCAAAUCAUCACGGCCCUUACGUCCUGGGCCACACACGUGCUACAAUGGUAUGGACAAUGAGAUGCAAACCUGUGAAGGCUAGCCAAUCUAUAAACUCGUUCUAAGUUCGGAUUGU
rnacentral:rRNA from 1 species